rnacentral:rRNA from 1 species
AUGGCGCCAGACAGCUCGACCACCCUGCGCUCGUCCAUCCAGCCGCAUCCGUCGUCGAUAUGCAGCUGCACCAUGCCGCCACCACUCGUCGUCAAUGACGCGGUAGAUACAACGCCGCACUACCUGGCAACCUCCACACCAUCGCCACUGCUGGAGCUACUCGGAGCCCACCAUCCACAACAUCUCUCUCCCGAACAGUAG